AAGAAAAAAGGUUGGAUGUAAAAGAAAAAAGAAGAAGAGGAAUAAGAAGGGCGAUAUCGGAGCUUCUCUCCCGGGUGAAAAAAAAAAGCAGAAAAGCUCAGAGAGGAAACAAGAGAGACAAGUCAGGAGAACAGAAACCGGAGAGAGCGGAUCACAGCGGAGUGAAGGAGAGGAGGAGGAGGAGAGAUGGAUGGAGCGGAGGAGAGAGGAAGAGAUGCGCCUUAAGGUAUGACAACACACCUCUGCUUCUAAGAAUAUUUAUCUGUCAAGCUUUGUGAGAUUCCUCCUUAAAAUGACUGAUGGAAAUCUAUCUAUCUAUCUAUCUAUCUAUCUAUCUAUCUAUCUAUCUAUCCUGUUCAUUUAUUCAUGCGUGAUGAGUCCCGGGCUGAGUGUGGAGAGCGGCAGCGUGGCGCAGUGCCCGCGCUCUUGUGUCCAUCCAGCUGACACCCAUGGGAGAAAAGAGAAAAAAAAGAAGGGGGGUGGGGAGGUGGGGCAGUCGGACCUGAAACCUGACAGUGUUUCGGGGCCUCACCGGAAGCUUCACCUCUGGUUUCCUCUUGCAACAGGUGGCGGGAGCCAAGUGACGCACACAAAUAAAAGCAGGCAGGAGAAAGGGAAGAUGGGAAGUAUGGAUUUCACCCAUCCGCCCGGAGCAGGAGGGUGUGCGUGUUUAAUGUUAGUGGGGAUGGAUGUUAUCUGUUGUCAUAAAAGUUUCCAUCAGAUGGAUUACCUGUGUGCAAGUGGGAUUUUCCUCGACAUACUGUCAACAUUUCAAAAUAAAAUAAGUUACAAGUA